rnacentral:rRNA from 1 species
AUUGAACGCUGGCGGCAUGCCUUACACAUGCAAGUCGAACGGCAGCACGGGAGCAAUCCUGGUGGCGAGUGGCGAACGGGUGAGUAAUAUAUCGGAACGUGCCCAGUCGUGGGGGAUAACGUAGCGAAAGCUACGCUAAUACCGCAUACGAUCUACGGAUGAAAGCGGGGGAUCGCAAGACCUCGCGCGAUUGGAGCGGCCGAUAUCAGAUUAGGUAGUUGGUGAGGUAAAGGCUCACCAAGCCGACGAUCUGUAGCUGGUCUGAGAGGACGACCAGCCACACUGGGACUGAGACACGGCCCAGACUCCUACGGAGGCAGCAGUGGGGAAUUUUUGGACAAUGGGACGCAAGGCCCUGAUCCAGCAAUGCCGCGUGCAGGAUGAAGGCCUUCGGUUGUAAC